rnacentral:rRNA from 1 species
CCCUUAGAUGUUCUGGGCCGCACGCGCGCUACACUGAGCCCUUCAUCGAGUUUACAACCUUGGCCGGUAGGUCUGGGUAAUCUUCUCAAAGGGGCUCGUGCUGGGGAUAGAUUAUUGUAAUUUUUAAUCUUCAACGAGGAAUUCCUAGUAAACGCAAGUCAACAGCUUGCAUUGAUUACGUCCCUGCCCUUUGUACACACCGCCCGUCGCACCUACCGAUUGAAUGGUCCGGUGAAAUCUUCGGAUUGAGACUUUGUUUUCUUCACGGAAAACGCUGUUUUAAAAAGUUGAUUAAACCUUACCAUUUAGAGGAAGGUGAAGUCGUAACA